rnacentral:rRNA from 1 species
UGCCAGCCGCCGCGGUAAUACGAAGGGACCUAGCGUAGUUCGGAAUUACUGGGCUUAAAGAGUUCGUAGGUGGUUGAAAAAGUUGGUGGUGAAAUCCCAGAGCUUAACUCUGGAACUGCCAUCAAAACUUUUCAGCUAGAGUUUGAUAGAGGAAAGCAGAAUUUCUAGUGUAGAGGUGAAAUUCGUAGAUAUUAGAAAGAAUACCAAUUGCGAAGGCAGCUUUCUGGCUAUUUUCUGACGCUGAGGAGCGAAAGCGUGGGGAGCAAACAGGAUUAGAUA